GAUGAAGAACGUAGCGAAAUGCGAUAAGUAAUGUGAAUUGCAGAAUUCAGUGAAUCAUCGAAUCUUUGAACGCACAUUGCGCCCGCCAGUAUUCUGGCGGGCAUGCCUGUUCGAGCGUCAUUACAACCCUCAGGCCCCCGGGCCUGGCGUUGGGGAUCGGAGCCCCCCGUGGGCACACGCCGUCCCCCAAAUACAGUGGUGGUCCCGCCGCAGCUUCCAUCGCGUAGUAGCUAACACCUCGCGACUGGAGAGCGGCGCGGCCACGCCGUAAAACACCCAACUCUUCUGAAGUUGACCUCGAAUCAGGUAGGAAUACCCGCUGAACUUAAGCAUAUCAAUAAGCGGAGGA
rnacentral:misc_RNA from 1 species